rnacentral:rRNA from 1 species
UACGAGGGGGGCGAGCGUUGUUCGGAAUUAUUGGGCGUAAAGGGUGCGUAGGCGGUUUGGUAAGUCUGAUGUGAAAUCUAUGGGCUCAACUCAUAGUCUGCAUCGGAAACUGCCGGGCUUGAGUGUGGGAGAGGUGAGUGGAAUUCCCGGUGUAGCGGUGAAAUGCGUAGAGACCCGGAGGAACACCGAUGGCGAAGGCAGGUCUCUGGGCCACUACUGACGCUGAGAAGCGAAAGCAUGGGGAGCGAACAGG